AGGAUGAACGCUGGCGGCGUGCUUAACACAUGCAAGUCGAACGAUGAAGCCCAGCUUGCUGGGUGGAUUAGUGGCGAACGGGUGAGUAACACGUGAGUAACCUGCCCUUAACUCUGGGAUAAGCCUGGGAAACUGGGUCUAAUACCGGAUAGGAGCGCCCACCGCAUGGUGGGUGUUGGAAAGAUUUAUCGGUUUUGGAUGGACUCGCGGCCUAUCAGCUUGUUGGUGAGGUAAUGGCUCACCAAGGCGACGACGGGUAGCCGGCCUGAGAGGGUGACCGGCCACACUGGGACUGAGACACGGCCCAGACUCCUACGGGAGGCAGCAGUGGGGAAUAUUGCACAAUGGGCGCAAGCCUGAUGCAGCGACGCCGCGUGAGGGAUGACGGCCUUCGGGUUGUAAACCUCUUUCAGUAGGGAAGAAGCGAAAGUGACGGUACCUGCAGAAGAAGCACCGGCUAACUACGUGCCAGC
rnacentral:rRNA from 1 species